GAACCAAUAAGAAUAAACCUGUCGCACGAUUGAUGAAAUAUAAUAAACCGAGACACAUAAGCGAACACAUGUCAUUAAAUUUAUCUAUAAUAUAAGCAUUUCCGUAAUAAUGAUCAAAAAAUGAACAUUAUAAACCAAUUUUGGCAUACUAAUAUAACAAUUAAGAAAAUAAUAAUUUCGAUUCCAUUGCUUGCUUUGCAUACAAAUUCAACGAAAGUUGCAUAAUGAAUCAUUGUACAAAGUUGUUACAGGUGAGGCUCGACGUCGUUUACGGGUCAGCUUACUUCCAACUCUACAUAUUUAUUUUUUAUCUAUCGGUAAAUUUCCAUUCAAUUUAUAAUCAGGCGGUACUGGGUAUGGACAACACGAUUGCCUGCUCCAAAACCAAUAUUUUACGCAUUGCAUUUUUAAAGUAAAACUGGUCCCAUCGAAUCCACUUCAGACAACCUGAGAAAGCACAAGUGCAUUAACGCCAGAUACUAGGAUACCAAAGUAGGCUACCCUUUGCAGGGAUCAUAUAACCGGAAAAGAAUCUUGUCUACAUCAAAUUGAUUGGUGACUGGUCCACCACCGCAGUUUAAUAGGCGCAGCAUCAGUCAUAAGCAGGCUUGCCUUAACACUUCAAGCCGUAUUGGACCUGAUAGGGGUUUCCAGCUGAGGUCCGAGCAUUUGAGAUAUACGCUUGAGUCCCUUUUGUAGGAGCGUUAUGAACAAAUCGGGCACAAAAGAAUUCUUGUGUUUUGUCAUCUGUUUUAGCAAGUACCUCUACCUUCCAAGACAUAUUCGAUACUAGAAUCAACUUCACCAAACAGUAUAUCAAUUGCUGUCUGAGAACAUUUAAAUUAAACAAGUUUGUUUGCUCAUCUGAUUGACGCACAAAAAAUAUAACAUGAAUGACACCGACAUGACGGAUAUAAACACUCAUUGUAGUUCUUUCAAAUUGUAUGGUUACCUUUAUUCAAAUACAAACUUCGUCACAGCCGGAAUGGCUAGUGCCUAUUUAACGAUAAUAAUUUGCGUUGCAGCCAUUUUUGAAAACGCGUUCGUAAUCUUCACUGUCUGUUGCAUCCCGAACCUAAGGAAAAAGUCAAGUGUUUUGAUAGUUAAUCUUGCAGUCGUCGAUUUGAUAAGUGGGUGUCUUAACUUCACUAUUAUGGUUCUGGUCCUAUCAACUACCGAUUACAUUCCGUAUGCAAAUAGUAUUUUAGCUACAACGUUGAUGAUAAUGUUUUGGUCUUUAAUUUUUGUUCUUGCUGCGAGUUUGGAACGCAUCUUAGCUGUCGCUGCUCCAGUUAGAUAUGGUCAGAUUAUAAGUAAAUGUAGAUUAGCUAUCAUAUCAAUAUUACUGUGGUUAUUACCGGUUUUUUUAAUUGCAUUACCUGCUAUUUUCAAUUGCCAGUUCGUGUAUAUAUACAUACAUUUUGCAAUGACGCUUAGCGUGGUACUCGUGUAUAUUUUAAUUUUCGUUAUUUUGAAACGCAAAUCCAAUAGACACGAAGUUGG